rnacentral:ncRNA from 2 species
AGGAGCCGUGUGAGGCGAAAGUUUCAUGCACGGUUCUGAAGGAGAGGUUAGAGGGGCAACCCUCUAAUCGACUCUAAC